AAAAAAAUGAACAAAAAAGACAAAAAAGAGAAAAGAAAAAAAUGAACAAAAAAGACAAAAAAGAGAAAAGAAAAAAAUGAACAAAAAAGAGAAAAAAGAGAAAAGAAAAAAAUGGACAAAAAAGAGAAAAAAGAGAAAAGAAAAAAAUGACAAAAAAGAGAAAAAGGAGAAAAGAAAAAAAUGAACAAAAAAGAAAAAAAGAGAAAAGCUAAAAAAGAAAAAAGAUAAAGAAAAAAGAAAAAAGAGAAAAUAGAAAUAAAAAAGAGGACAGAAAAAUAUGAAAAAAAGAAAAAAGAAAAAAAGAAAAGAAAAAAAUAAUAGAUGAAAAAAAGAAAAAACGAAAGGAAAAACGGAUAAUGACAAGAGAAGAAAGGUAAAGAGAAAAGAAGAAAAAAGCCAAGUCAAAAAGUAAAGAAUAACUCGAAGGAAGGAGUGGAUGGCAAGAAAUACAGAGAAAGCAGUGCAUAGCACAGCAGAGCAAAGCAAGGCAAAAUAGCAGCCAAAGCCACGAGAAUCAAGAAGUCAGUGAAGAGCAGGAAAGGAAUGGAGGAAUCUGUCCAGAGCUGUGCCCCUGCUUGCCACAGGAGCUGCGCGGGAGAGAAGAACGUGGGCCAAAAGGUGUUCCACUUUGGCUUUGUAUGACACAGUGGACGAGAGGG
ensembl:lncRNA